rnacentral:rRNA from 1 species
CAGUCGCCGCGGGAAUACGAAGGGGGCUAGCGUUGCUCGGAAUGACUGGGCGUAAAGGGCGCGUAGGCGGUUCGUACAGUUGGAUGUGAAAUCCCCGGGCUCAACCUGGGAAUGGCAGUGGAUACUGGCAAGCUAGAGUGUGUCAGAGGAUGGUGGAAUUCCCGCUGUAGCGGUGAAAUGCGUAGAGAUCGGGAGGAACAUCAGUGGCGAAGGCGGCCAUCUGGGACAACACUGACGCUGAGGUACGAAAGCGUGGGGAGCAAACAGGAUUAGAUACCCCUGUAGUCCCUGUCUCUUAUAC